GACGAACGCUGGCGGCGUGCUUAACACAUGCAAGUCGAACGGAAAGGCCCUGCUUUUGUGGGGUGCUCGAUGGCCGAACGGGGGAGUAACACGUGAGUAACCUGCCCUUGACUUUGGGAUAACUUCAGGAAACUGGGGCUAUUACCGGAUAGGAGCUCCUGCUCCAGGGUGGGGGUGGGAAAGUUUCGGCGGUAGGGGAUGGACUCGCGGCUUACCGGCUGGUUGGUGGGGUGGGGGCUUACCAAGGCUUUGACGGGUAGCCGGCCUGGGAGGGGGGACGGCCACAUGGGGACUGAGAUACGGACCAGACUCCUACGGGAGGCAGCAGUGGGAAGUAUUGCACAAUGGGCGGAAGCCUGAUGCAGCAACGCCGCGUGCGGGAUGACGGCCUUCGGGUUGUAAACCGCUUUCGCCUGUGACGAAGCGUGAGUGACGGUAAUGGGUAAAGAAGCACCGGCUAACUACGUG
rnacentral:rRNA from 1 species